CGCGGCCUAGAGUUGUCGAAAAACAGAUUCAAAAUCCGCCGGGUGCAAGCCCUUGUCGGUUCGAGUCCGACCGCCGGUACCA
rnacentral:tRNA from 1 species